AAGUUACACUCAGUGAUGGAAAUAAGAGCCUGAGUACUGGCAUGUCUGGUGUUCUGCAGAGACUGGCUGAAGAGCAAGCUAGCAGUGAUAACGGUGGAAGGAAGGAGAAAGUCAGGUGUUGGUAGUGAAGGAAGAAACUUUGAGGCACAAGAAUGAGCAUUGGUUGAGCAUCAACUAUGAGCCAAGUGUGUUCUAAGGACAUCACAGCCUUAAGGGGUGUUCCUUGGAACUCUGGACUCUCCAGGCGGCGUCUCCCGGUCCUUGGUCCUCUGGUGGCGCAGGUUUCACGUGCGAGGCGUGGAUCCAAGCGGAGAUCCCAUCUACCUUCACAGCCGUUGGGGUUGUUAAGAGCACCAGGUGGAACAGUUGGCUGGGUGUCAGGACCUGCUCCCCACUAGCUGUGUGAUCGUGGCUGGAAUACGAGUCUUCCGAGUCUCAUUCCUGACAUUUGUUAGUGAAGCUGGAGUAACAGUAUCUGACCCACUUCACAGAGUGUGACCAAGGAUGGCUUUGAGAAUUAACAUGAGGAGCCAUUUCAGUUACUACCUUGAUAAGUGAGCACAGGUCCAGGAGUCCUGCGUUUGCUGCCUUUGGCUUCCUGGAUGACCAACGCUUCAUCUGCUGUGACAGCGAGGAGGUGAAGGCAGAGUCUUGUGUUCACUGUUUGAUGGAGGAACCAAGUUAGUUUGAUGAUGAAACCAACAUCCUCACAAGUUGGAUGGAGAUUUUCCACUUAAAUCUGAGAAUGUGCAGCAAUGCUACAACCAAAUCAUGGAGCAGGGCCUGCACAAAGAGCAUCCACACCAGCAAGCAGGUGAUCCAGCUAUGAGACAGCAGUGGGGACAGAACUCACCACCCCACCCCAACCCCAGAGGUGGGAAGCCCUCUUGACUGGGGCAGGUGCCUGAGCACAAGUGUCACUUGAGAAUGAAGACUGUCCUAGUCUAUCACAAAGGGUCAGGGUGUGUUUGACAUUAACUCAUUCAGGAUUCAGCGGUAUCAUUGGUCAUAGAUAUAUACACAUCACCUUUUGGGUGCUGGGGGUGGAGAAGCAGAAAAGUAUAUCCUAGGGUUUGUUCUCGAAGAGCUUUCAGUUACCGUGGGGAGGCACCCAGAUGUCUGGGAACACAUUACUGACCCCAUGACACAUACCAAGAGAUGUCAAAGACCAGUAACCCCUUACAUGCCAAAUGAGAAGCAGGAAAUAGUUUACGGAAGUUAGGACAGACACCCCAGUGGUCAGAGAGAGGGUCACAUGAAUGAGGUGGAACUUAGGGUAGAAUCUGAGGGAUGUGAUGAUUUGUGUUAAUGAAGAAAAAGGAAGAUGCUCCAAGCAGCUGGAAGUCUGCACCUCCCCAUCCAGGGCCUUUUCAAUACAUCCUGGAACUGAGCAUAGACCAUCCCCACUGCAGAGCUGCCUGCAAGUAAAGGAGAUCAGAAUCAGGGACCAAACUGGUUUGUCCAGGGAAUAGAUUGUAGCCUAAUAAUUUUUAACACAUUAUGAGUGGGAAUGUCACCUAAGGGGAGAAUCUGAGAGAU